UAGGUCCUUCUCUAGUGGCUGUCUACUAAACAGCCACUAGAGGAGAUUUCUGUGUUCAUAGAACACAAAAAGUGUUUUAAAACGACACUGGACGUCCUCACCCUAUGUGAGGACCUCCAGCGUCGCUGAAAUUCCCAUAGGAAAGCAUGCUUUCCUAUGGGGAGGUCUAAUGUGCGUGCACGGCCAUUUCCUGACGGUGGGGGAGGCGCGUAGGCGGAGCCUGACCCAGCGCCGAGGGACAUCGGCGCUGGACUACGUUAAGUCACUGAAGGGAUUUAAACCCCUUCAGCAAUUUGGGAUGGGGGUGGGAUGUAAAGG